rnacentral:rRNA from 1 species
UCGGAACGUGCCCAGUCGUGGGGGAUAACUGCUCGAAAGAGCAGCUAAUACCGCAUACGAUCUGAGGGUGAAAGCGGGGGAUCGCAAGACCUCGCGCGAUUGGAGCGGCCGAUAUCAGAUUAGGUAGUUGGUGAGGUAAAGGCUCACCAAGCCGACGAUCUGUAGCUGGUCUGAGAGGACGACCAGCCACACUGGGACUGAGACACGGCCCAG